ACUCAAAUGAAUUGACGGGGGCCCGCACAAGCGGUGGAGCAUGUGGUUCAAUUCGACGCAACGCGAAGAACCUUACCGGGGCUCGAACGGUAACUGCUACUCCUGGAAACAGGGGGUUCUCUUCGGAGACGGUUAUCGAGGUGCUGCAUGGCUGUCGUCAGCUCGUGUCGUGAGAUGUUGGGUUAAGUCCCGCAACGAGCGCAACCCUUACCCUUAGUUGCCAUCAGGUAAUGCUGAGCACCCUAAGGGAACCGCCCCGGAAAACGGGGAGGAAGGUGGGGAUGACGUCAAGUCCUCAUGGCCCUUACGUCCCGGGCUACACACGUGCUACAAUGGCCGGCACAGAGGGUCGCCAACCCGCGAGGGGGAGCUAAUCCCAAAAAGCCGGUCUCAGUUCGGAUUGCAGUCUGCAACUCGACUGCAUGAAGUCGGAAUCGCUAGUAAUCGCGGAUCAGAACGCCGCGGUGAAUACGUUCCCGGGCCUUGUACACACCGCCCGU
rnacentral:rRNA from 1 species